rnacentral:lncRNA from 1 species
GGAUAACUGGGAAAAGCAAAAUGAUAUCCUUUCUGUGAUAAAAUAACAUCAGUCUAGCCUCAAAUUAUUUAUACAAAAAAAUUUUGCCAAACAAUGUGAAGCAUACAACCAAAAAUAAGCAGACAAACAAGAAGACAAUGUGACAUGAAUAAAAACCAAGAAGGAAAAAACUAGAGUAAAUAAAUAUCAACAAGGACUUCAGUUAUUAUAGUUUCAAAGACAGUCUUCAAAAUAAAUAAGUUCACAAGCUCAAGAAGAUGAAAGCAUGAAAACUUCAGCAGAGAACUGAGAAAAAUAUAUAUGCAUGUACCUGAAGAAACAAAUGAAAAUUGAAAAACUAAAAAGUAAAAUAAUUAAAAUUGAAAACUUGGUGCCUGAGUAUAACAGCUUUUACAUACACUUAAAAAGAUUAGUAAUGAGUUGGAAGAUAAAUCAUAAGAAAAUAUUCAAAAUAAAGCAUGGAAAGAUAAAGAGAUGGGAAACAGGUGAUAGGGUAUAUGAAAGGCACAGUGAGAAGAUUUAACAUAUGAAUAUACCUAGAAGGGAAGAAGAAGGAGAAUGGAAAAGAAGCAAUACUUGAAGACAUAAUAGCUGAUGUUGUCCAGGCUGAAGUCCUGAGCUCAAGCGAUCCAAGCGAUCCACCCACCUUGACCUCCCAAGGUGCUGGGAUUAUAGGCAUGAGCCACUGCACCUGGCCUCCAAUGCAAUUUUAUAAAGCUUUCCCAAUUAGUGAAGUGCCAGAUGUUACAGCUUCUUACUGUAAUGACUUGUCGUAUUUAAUAAAUUAGUCGUAUCUACACAUACAAGCAGAACCAGCAGAAACUUUUCUUGACUCGGGACCUGACUUAAUUAUUCUUUGAAAAGCUUUUUCUGACUAAGCUCACCAUAUAAAUAAUCUACAUGCCAUUUAGUCAGACUAUCUGCAGCUUGGCCGUGUUCUCUGUCUUGGUUCUUAAGUUGUUACUGUUUUAAAUUACAGAUCCUUUGAGAACCUGAUGAAAGCUAUGAGUCCUCUCUGCAGAAAAUAUACACAUGCGCAUAUGCAUAAAUCUGGACAUAUGCUUUCAAGGACCCCCUGAAAGACCAUCUGUGGACCCCUUAUGGAGCCCAUGAACUCUCAGGUGUGUUCGUCUCUAGCUGGAAGGCAUUGACAGAAUGGAGGUUCACCCAGAGUCAGCUGAAGACUUCGUUGCCUCUGACUGGAACCCUGGACUCAGUAGCCCUCUAGCAAUUGACAUUACUGUUCGAGAUGCCACCUGUGUAUGGCUGGGAGGUGAGGUCCUGUUGUAUCAAGCCCUGGUAUUUUGUUGAAGCCCUUCAGCAUUGAAUUGUGUUUUCUUAGAAAUAAGGGCCCUUGGAAUUUGGGGGUGGAGAAGCAGGGUUCUGCGUCCAGGUCUGUAUAGUUCUUUGGUAAAGUCAUGUAAUACAGCCUCUGCCAUUUCAAAUCUAACUGGGUGCUGACACUCAGGCUAAUCUACACCAUAUAUUUUUGACAUUUCACGAGUAGUGAGUUAACAAUUGGAAUAACUCUGGCUCAAAUUUUACUUAUUAAUUAAAGUUGGCAUUUAAAGAAGAUUUGUUAAUAGCAUUCAUAGAACAUUCAGAGACCCAGGCUCUGUGUUGAGCGUUCCGCAUUUCCUUUAGUCUGCACGACAAUCUCAUGAGGCAGGAAAUCUAAUUGCCUCCAUUCCACGCAUGGCACAAAUGAGGCCCAGAGAACUUUUUAAAUUCUCUGGCAAUUUACUUUCACAGGUCAAAUAACUAACAAAUAGUAGAGCUAGGAUUUGAAAGCAGGCAGAUUUCAAGACCAGAAUGUUUAAACCUUAAACUAUAGUUCAU